rnacentral:rRNA from 1 species
UACGUAGGGGGCUAGCGUUGUCCGGAAUCAUUGGGCGUAAAGCGCGCGUAGGCGGCCAGAUAAGUCCGGUGUGAAAGUCAAAGGCUCAACCUUUGAAUGCCGCUGGAAACUGUCUGGCUAGAGUCCGGAAGGGGCGAGUGGAACUCCUGGUGGAGCGGUGAAAUGCGCAGAUAUCAGGAAGAACACCAAUGGCGAAGGCAGCUCGCUAGGACGGUACUGACGCUGAGGCGCGAAAGCGUGGGGAGCAAACAGG